AAUGGAAACAUCUCGGUAGAAAGUCAUCUUUCGAAAAAGGAGCCGAAACUAAAACGGGAGACUUGUCUUGUGGAGGAGACGUCCGACGGACGAGAAGCUUCUCAGAAGGUCAUCAGUCGGUGACCUAGCACCAGAUUUGCGUCUGUCUUCUAACAAGCUUAGCGGAAGCUGCGGCCGGCCAGUCGCUAUGACCAUCUUACGAGCGGAAGGAGCCUGACAGUUAGCUUAGCUUAGCCACCUGGACAGCGCUUUGCCGAAGGUCGUCCGGCCGCCUGUGCGCCCACGUCUAUAUUUGCGUCUCCUAUUUUUAGCCCAUCGCAGGACGACGGACCAUUGCGCUGCGCUGCCAAGACAGGCUGGACGUGGGCCUCGCAGGGCCAGCCACCACCAUGACCCGCUCACGAGACCUUUUCCAGGGCGAUGGAGAAGAAACAAGGCAAAAGUGGAAGGGACACUAAGUCGACUUAAUGGUCUUAAGCCCCGCCCCCUCCCAUGGCCGCUGAACUUGCAGUACAUCCUCCAGCACGUCCAGGAAGUGAGUCACCUGCGAGAGCACAAAGUGAUGCCUGACAGCUGUCAAUCAAAGGUGCCGCCGGCCGGCCGGCCGGAGGCCCAGCUCACCUUGGCCUGGUGCUCGAUCCUGUAAGGAGCCUGCUGGAACUGCCGGAUCUCUCGGAUGAUGUGACAGAUCUGACGGGGAGACAAAGAGCAGCUUUUGAUUUUGCCGCCACCCACCGCUCAGCGGCUGCUUGCGAGCGCCGACUACCAUCCUCAUCUUGGAGAAGUUGACCAGGCCUUCCUCGGUGAAGUUGGGCGUGGCCUCCUCGAUGAAGGCCAGGUCGGUGAGGUACAUGCCCAGCGUCUCUCGGAGGUUCUUGAAGCGUCCUUCGGACGAGACCGUCCUCUGCAGUCGAUCCAUCAGCGCCUUGGUCUGCGAGGCGACAAAUGAUUUCAAAAAUAAUGACGCUGAGCUGAGCGCCGUUGCGAACCAUACGAGGGGGGCCUGGACCUGCUUGCAGACUUUGGCCCAGGUCUUCUUGAGGCGGUAGACGGCGCUGCGGUUGAGCGCCGAGGUGAUCUCCAGCACGCCGUUGUAGUUGUGCAGGCAGCGGCAGAUGUCGGCCACCGCCAGCCACUUCUCGAUGGCGCCGGCCCGGGCGCCCGCGUCGCCGUGCGUCAUGAUCCGCGAGGCCACCAGGUUGCUCAUCUGAGCGUGAGCCGGCCACAAAACGUGAGCGGCGGCGGCGGCGCGGGUCCGCUUGAGCUCCGCUUAAGCUCCGCUCGAGCUCACCUCGUUGAAGUGCUGGCUGGUUCUCAUGAUGAAGGGCGUCUUCUCCGUCUUGUCCGCCUUCAUCCAGCCCUGACCCAGGAACUCCCUGAAACGCCACCGUCAACCAAUCGAUAUUCAUACGAGGAAAAAUACUGGGAAAAUGUCCCAAACAAAAUAGUCUCAUUAGCAUAAAAUACCGGAAACUACUUUCAUUUCUCAAACAAAUUUGGGCACCCAUAGGUGAUUUUUCAGGCAUUGUUUGCUCUGGUGGAAGCUACCUGCAUUGUCCCAUCUGACCGCUAGAGGGCGACAGACUACAAGCGCAAGUCGCUCGGCGAUCACAAUCAAUUGUAAUCAUCAUUUCAAAAUAAAUGCAACAUCCUGCA